UACGUAGGGUGCAAGCGUUAAUCGGAAUUACUGGGCGUAAAGCGUGCGCAGGCGGUUAUAUAAGACAGUUGUGAAAUCCCCGGGCUCAACCUGGGAACUGCAUCUGUGACUGUAUAGCUAGAGUACGGUAGAGGGGGAUGGAAUUCCGCGUGUAGCAGUGAAAUGCGUAGAUAUGCGGAGGAACACCGAUGGCGAAGGCAAUCCCCUGGACCUGUACUGACGCUCAGGCACGAAAGGCGUGGGGAGCAAACAGG
rnacentral:rRNA from 1 species